AAAAAAAGUAAAUAAAUAAAUUAAAAGGAAAAGAAAAAGAAAAAGAAAAAGAAAAAGAAAAAAAAAAAAAGAAAUGAUGAGUGAUUAAUCCGUUCGUUACAAUCCAUGCGUAUUUUUUUUCUCUAUUUUCCUUCUUUGAUGCUUCGAUGACGUUCAAUGCUAUUCGCAUGCCAAAGCUCAGUCUGAUAAUUAACACUAUCCACGUAUAUGAGAGACUACUUGCAUGCAUACAAGUACGUUGCGACGUGGUAACUAAUUGUAAGUAGUAGUAAUAGUAAGAGUGGAAAAACGCAAAAGGAAUUUCUCGUUGAUCGAACACGUGCAGGAGCGGUGCGUUGUAAAGAGUUUAGGAGCAUGGUAUAUACUACUUCUCGUUGUGAUAUAAUGCCGAUAGUCGAAGUGGCAACGGUAGUAGUAUAGUUAAGCCUUGGCUUAGAUUCCAAGCUCUGUCGCGUGUGCUACCUCGUGACCAAUGGCGUCGCGUCUUUCAUUAUAAUUCACGAGUAACAAUGAAAUGUCGUAAAAUUCAAUAUUUGUAAAAAAAGAAAAAAAAAAAAAAAAAGAAAAAAAAGAAAAAAAACCCAUUUAAUUCGAAUAUGUAAUGGUGUCUCGAUGUUUUCGGGAUUUCCGAAACAUCGAGGGUAAGGGUGAUUACAAGACUCGAAGACGUUGAUCUACGUUCGAAACAUCGAGGGUAAGGGUGAUUACAAGACUCGAAGACGUUGAUCUACGUUGUGUGUAACGAAGAGGAGGAUUCGUAUUAGGCACAACUUUUACCGUUAAGUACUGGUUAGAAAAGCGAUGGAAGUCUCUCUCUCUCUCUCUCUCUCUCUCUCUCUCUCUCUCUCACUCUUUCUCUCUCUCUCUCUCUCUCUCUGUCUAUCUCUCUCUUAUACGGCAUUACACGCGAGAACAUUCUCCGCGAUGAACACUCACUCGUAGGUCCUUCUACCUCCGUGUAAUGCCACUGCAAAAAAAAAGAGAGAAAGAGAGAGUACCUGUAUCUUGUUUCUUUCGACCUCCGAGUAUCUCUCUUCUUCAAUCUACGAGUUUCAUCGGUCGAUGAGUUCGAUCUCUCGCAAAAUCGAUAGCAUGUAAUCCUUUUCGAUAGCUGAGUAUUAUUUUCACGGAUAGCUCUCUCUUUCUCUCUCACAUGCGCCUGCACACACACAUACAUAUACAAUUAUUGUCAUAUUUUGAAAAUAUAACAUAGUUUUCAAAGUGACGUUUACUACGCUAAAAAAAGAAGAGUACGUGUUAAGAAAAUGUAAUACUGAAGUUAAAUAUAAAACAAAGCACACAAAAGUAGGGACUCGAUCGAAGAGAGAAGUCAAAAGUAUCUCGACGCAGAUUCGCGAUAGGGAAGGGACGAUGACGAAGAUGAGGAGGAGGGAGUGGAUGUCCUUGGAGCACGGUAGUUAACUGCAAGCGUCUACUCCACGAGGAACCAUUACUAACGAGUCUGAGGAGUGAGGAUGCACCAGGUGUAUAGAUACAUGAAUGCAUAUUCUUCUCGUUGACGUAGAUUUUGUAGAAGUCGAUCGUGACCAAAUCAUAAUGGAUUUCUAUUGUUCCAAUAUUGAUAAUGUUACCAACCUCUCUUUUUAAGUAUUAAUGAGCUUUUAAUAGGCUAGCCAAAGUUAUUUAUGUACAAAUGAUUAUUAAUGAUAAUAAAAUUGAUUUCCAUAUUU